rnacentral:rRNA from 1 species
UACGUAGGGUGCAAGUGUUAAUCGGAAUUACUGGGCGUAAAGCGUGCGCAGGCGGUUUUUCAAGACAGAUGUGAAAUCCCCGGGCUUAACCUGGGAAUGGCAUUUGUGACUGGAAGGCUAGAGUGUGUCAGAGGGGGGUAGAAUUCCACGUGUAGCAGUGAAAUGCGUAGAGAUGUGGAGGAAUACCGAUGGCGAAGGCAGCCCCCUGGGAUAACACUGACGCUCAUGCACGAAAGCGUGGGGAGCAAACAGG